AAACUCGCCUCGUGGCCCACUGUGAAGCUGUCAAGCUGUGUUUUGUUGUGAUAAAAAAUGAGGCGUCCCUUUGUGAAGGUUUGUUUUAAUAUUUUUGUAUAUCUUUCGCGAGGUAUUAUUAUAAUUAAAAUUACAUUCUAAGUGUAAUAAUUAUCGAUGCUUAUUAAUUCGUGUUUUUUUUAUGUAUAUUCCAUACAGGUAGCUCGCAACAAACGAUCGACAGCACGGUUCGUGUACGUGCAGCUGCGGGAAGGGCUGUAUUGCUGGAAGGUUGCUGGUAGCUGGUAGGUUUUCUAUUUUAUAUAUUAAUUCAUUCAUAUUUUAAAGUGUUUUGUUUUGUUUUGUUUAGGUUGCUGGUAGCUGCAGCUGCGGGAAGGGCUGUAUUGCUGGAAGGUUGCUGGUAGCUGCAGCUGCGGGAAGGGCUGUAUUGCUGGAAGGUUGCUGGUAGCUGGUUGCUGGUAGCUGCAGCUGCUGGUUUUUCAUCGUUCCGGUACGCCACGAAGACCUCAAAGUUUUUUGUGAUAUAAAAAUAAAUAAAAAGAAAGAAUGAAAAGUGUUUUUUUUUUUUUUUGUUCGGAUAGAUGGGAGGCUUGUCCUCGCCCCUUUUAGGUUGCGAUUGGUGGCGCGCCGUGGCUUCCAGAGUUUUGGCUAACGGUUAGCGCGUUAGUUUAGCAUUAGAUUUAUUAUCUGAAUAUUAUAUUACGGUACCGAGCACAAUUGCGUAUCUCGAGUUUCACACGUACGUGCGGAUUCCGAUGGAAAGAAUAGUUUACACUGCCGGCUUCGAGGGUUGAAAUACAUCGGCACAGAGGUUCGCCGCAUUAAUGUUUUAGAGUUUGCCUCUAAAAUUAAUUUAACCGUUUUAUACGAUUCUUACUGAAUUUAACACAGAGUUUUUAGAUUCAGAAUAAAUUUUUUGAAUUGAAUCAAACCGGAGGUUCGUUUUUAAUUUUAUUUUCGAACUUGGAAUUUUUGUUCAGUGCAAAAUGCUAUGCUGGUCAAACUCGCCUCGUGGCCCACUGUGAAGCUGUCAAGCUGUGUUUUGUUGUGAUAAAAAAUGAGGCGUCCCUUUGUGAAGGUUUGUUUUAAUAUUUUUGUAUAUCUUUCGCGAGGUAUUAUUAUAAUUAAAAUUACAUUCUAAGUGUAAUAAUUAUCGAUGCUUAUUAAUUCGUGUUUUUUUUAUGUAUAUUCCAUACAGGUAGCUCGCAACAAACGAUCGACAGCACGGUUCGUGUACGUGCAGCUGCGGGAAGGGCUGUAUUGCUGGAAGGUUGCUGGUAGCUGGUAGGUUUUCUAUUUUAUAUAUUAAUUCAUUCAUAUUUUAAAGUGUUUUGUUUUGUUUUGUUUAGGUUGCUGGUAGCUGCAGCUGCGGGAAGGGCUGUAUUGCUGGAAGGUUGCUGGUAGCUGCAGCUGCGGGAAGGGCUGUAUUGCUGGAAGGUUGCUGGUAGCUGGUUGCUGGUAGCUGCAGCUGCUGGUUUUUCAUCGUUCCGGUACGCCACGAAGACCUCAAAGUUUUUUGUGAUAUAAAAAUAAAUAAAAAGAAAGAAUGAAAAGUGUUUUUUUUUUUUUUUGUUCGGAUAGAUGGGAGGCUUGUCCUCGCCCCUUUUAGGUUGCGAUUGGUGGCGCGCCGUGGCUUCCAGAGUUUUGGCUAACGGUUAGCGCGUUAGUUUAGCAUUAGAUUUAUUAUCUGAAUAUUAUAUUACGGUACCGAGCACAAUUGCGUAUCUCGAGUUUCACACGUACGUGCGGAUUCCGAUGGAAAGAAUAGUUUACACUGCCGGCUUCGAGGGUUGAAAUACAUCGGCACAGAGGUUCGCCGCAUUAAUGUUUUAGAGUUUGCCUCUAAAAUUAAUUUAACCGUUUUAUACGAUUCUUACUGAAUUUAACACAGAGUUUUUAGAUUCAGAAUAAAUUUUUUGAAUUGAAUCAAACCGGAGGUUCGUUUUUAAUUUUAUUUUCGAACUUGGAAUUUUUGUUCAGUGCAAAAUGCUAUGCUGGUCAAACUCGCCUCGUGGCCCACUGUGAAGCUGUCAAGCUGUGUUUUGUUGUGAUAAAAAAUGAGGCGUCCCUUUGUGAAGGUUUGUUUUAAUAUUUUUGUAUAUCUUUCGCGAGGUAUUAUUAUAAUUAAAAUUACAUUCUAAGUGUAAUAAUUAUCGAUGCUUAUUAAUUCGUGUUUUUUUUAUGUAUAUUCCAUACAGGUAGCUCGCAACAAACGAUCGACAGCACGGUUCGUGUACGUGCAGCUGCGGGAAGGGCUGUAUUGCUGGAAGGUUGCUGGUAGCUGGUAGGUUUUCUAUUUUAUAUAUUAAUUCAUUCAUAUUUUAAAGUGUUUUGUUUUGUUUUGUUUAGGUUGCUGGUAGCUGCAGCUGCGGGAAGGGCUGUAUUGCUGGAAGGUUGCUGGUAGCUGCAGCUGCGGGAAGGGCUGUAUUGCUGGAAGGUUGCUGGUAGCUGGUUGCUGGUAGCUGCAGCUGCUGGUUUUUCAUCGUUCCGGUACGCCACGAAGACCUCAAAGUUUUUUGUGAUAUAAAAAUAAAUAAAAAGAAAGAAUGAAAA